AACGAACGCUGGCGGCAUGCCUAACACAUGCAAGUCGAACGAGACCUUCGGGUCUAGUGGCGCACGGGUGCGUAACGCGUGGGAACCUGCACUUAGGUUCGGAAUAACUCCCCGAAAGGGGUGCUAAUACCGGAUAAUGUCUUCGGACCAAAGAUUUAUCGCCUUUGGAUGGGCACGCGUUGGAUUAGCUAGUUGGUAGGGUAAAAGCCUACCAAGGCGACGAUCCAUAGCUGGUCUGAGAGGAUGAUCAGCCACACUGGGACUGGGACACGGCCCAGACUCCUACGGGAGGCAGCAGUGGGGAAUAUUGGACGCUGGGCGAAAGCCUGAUCCAGCAAUGCCGCGUGAGUGAUGAAGGCCUUAGGGUUGUAAAGCUCUUUUACCCGGGAUGAUAAUGACGGUACCGGGAGAAUAAGCUCCGGCUAACUCCGUG
rnacentral:rRNA from 1 species